UACGUAGGGUGCAAGCGUUGUCCGGAAUUAUUGGGCGUAAAGAGCUCGUAGGCGGUCUGUCGCGUCUGCUGUGAAAACUCGGGGCUUAACCCCGGGCCUGCAGUGGGUACGGGCAGACUAGAGUGCGGUAGGGGAGACUGGAAUUCCUGGUGUAGCGGUGAAAUGCGCAGAUAUCAGGAGGAACACCGGUGGCGAAGGCGGGUCUCGUGGGCCGUAACUGACGCUGAGGAGCGAAAGCAUGGGGAGCGAACAGG
rnacentral:rRNA from 1 species